AUUGAACGCUGGCGGCAUGCCUUACACAUGCAAGUCGAACGGUAACAGGUCUUCGGUCUGGUGGCGAGUGGCGAACGGGUGAGUAAUACAUCGGAACAUGCCCAGUCGUGGGGGAUAACGUAGCGAAAGCUACGCUAAUACCGCAUACGAUCUAAGGAUGAAAGCGGGGGAUCGCAAGACCUCGCGCGAUUGGAGCGGCCGAUGGCAGAUUAGGUAGUUGGUAGGGUAAAGGCCUACCAAGCCGACGAUCUGUAGCUGGUCUGAGAGGAUGAUCAGCCACACUGGGAUUGAGACACGGCCCAGACUCCUACGGGAGGCAGCAGUGGGGAAUUUUGGACAAUGGGCGCAAGCCUGAUCCAGCAAUGCCGCGUGCAGGAAGAAGGCCUUCGGGUUGUAAACUGCUUUUGUCAGGGAAGAAAUCCUCUGGGUUAAUACCUCGGGGGGAUGACGGUACCUGAAGAAUAAGCACCGGCUAACUACGUGCCAGCCGCCGCUGUAACAC
rnacentral:rRNA from 1 species